GCCUUCUUCAAUGCUUCACUGCUACUACCAACCAUUGCAGCCUCAUCCUUUCCACUCUCUUUGAGUUUAAUAUUUUUUGUCUUCCUCCUAGAGCUAUUAUCAUGAGAAGACUCANNNNNNNNNNNAAAACUGAAUGAUUUGCUGCAUGAGGUUCUAUAUCCUUAUCAGGUGUUACUUCCUCAGCAGCUAGCCCAUCAGUACCAUCCUCUUCUCUUUGCUCCUUCUUCCUCUUCUU
rnacentral:misc_RNA from 1 species